UCUCCGUUGGUGAACCAGCGGAGGGAUCAUUACAGAGUUAUCAAAACUCCCAAACCCAUGUGAACAUACCUCGCGUUGCCUCGGCAGGUGGCGUCUCGCCCCGUAAGAACCUACCCUGUAGGAACGUACCCGGUAGACGACCCUGCCGACGGCCCCCGAAACUCUGUUUUAUAGCAUUAAACUUCUGAAAACAUAACUAAAUAAAUUAAAACUUUCAACAACGGAUCUCUUGGUUCUG
rnacentral:misc_RNA from 1 species